CUCCGAAUGGUGUAGUUGGUUCAUCACGUUCGACUGUAAUGGGUUUCCAAGAUGAUCGAAAGGUCCCUAGUUCAAUUCUGGGUUCGGAGA
rnacentral:tRNA from 2 species